UGAGCCUGGAAGUCAUUGACUUGGUUAGUCCGCUGGUCAGUGAGCUCUGGGGAUAUGCUUGUCUUCUGUUCCUCAGCAUUACAGCCAUUACAGAAGCACGCCUUCAGCGAGCACUCUCUUAGCAGAACUGGAGAGAUCUACCAAGUCACAUCCUUGCCAACGCUUGGUGUUAACAGUCUUUAGAUGUAGCCAUUUUGUUAAGAGCUUUCUGAAGAGUGACGUCAUAUCCAGAAGAGAAAGGCCGGGAGACUGAUCUUGAUGCAGGAUGUGGAGGUUUCAGCCUUGGUUACUUACAAUUUUACUUUAGGCCCUGGAGAGGCAGGCUGUGCAGCUGGGAUCGGUCCUGGAGGAAA
rnacentral:lncRNA from 1 species